CUGGUCUUGCUGUGGUUGGCUCUGCCUAUGUCUGAUCUCUUUAACCCCUUAAGGACACAUGACAUGUGUGACAUGUCAUGAUUCCAUUUUAUUCCAGAAGUUUGGUCCUUAAGGGGUUAAACAUGAUGGUCCCAGCCAAUCCAAUUCUUUGGGAGGCUAAUGCGCAUGCACAGAAAACCCUGCACUGUUGCAAUCAGCAUUUCCUCAUAGAUAUCCAUUGAAUCUAUGCAUCUCUAUGGGGAACAUUCAGUGCUCCUUGCAGAGUGUGGAGGCGCUUAAUGCAAGUGCAGGACUGACUCAGGAAGAAACUCUAGUGGCCGUCUGAGUGAGGCGUUCCUAGGCAUCA